rnacentral:tRNA from 1 species
GCCAGUGUGGGUUAGUGGUUUGAGCAUUGGACAAUGACUCUAGAGACCAGGGUUCAAAUCCUGUCUCAGCCA